AAUGGCAGGUCAGCAUACUGCCGUGAAUACGUUCCCGGGCCUUGUACACACCGCCCGUCACACCAUGAGAGUUGGAGAUACCCGAAGCCUGUGAGCUAACAAACGAGGCAGCAGUCGAAGGUAGAAUCAAUGAUUGGGGUGAAGUCGUAACAAGGUAAC
rnacentral:rRNA from 1 species